GGUGAGAUGGCUCAGUGGGUAAGAGCGCCGACUGCUCUUCUGAAGGUCCUGAGUUCAAAUCCCAGCAACCA
rnacentral:tRNA from 1 species